AACGAACGCUGGCGGCAUGCCUAACACAUGCAAGUCGAACGAGACCUUCGGGUCUAGUGGCGCACGGGUGCGUAACGCGUGGGAAUCUGCCCUUCGGUUGGGAAUAACUGAGAGAAAUUUCAGCUAAUACCUUAUAAUGUCUUCGGACCAAAGAUUUAUCGCCGAGGGAUGAGCCCGCGUAGGAUUAGGUAGUUGGUGGGGUAUUGGCCUACCAAGCCGACGAUCCUUAGCUGGUCUGAGAGGAUGAUCAGCCACACUGGGACUGAGACACGGCCCAGACUCCUACGGGAGGCAGCAGUGGGGAAUAUUGGACAAUGGGCGAAAGCCUGAUCCAGCAAUGCCGCGUGAGUGAUGAAGGCCUUAGGGUUGUAAAGCUCUUUUACCCGGGAUGAUAAUGACAGUACCGGGAGAAUAAGCUCCGGCUAACUCCGUG
rnacentral:rRNA from 1 species